ACUCCUACGGGAGGCAGCAGUGGGGGAAUAUUGCACAAUGGGCGCAAGCCUGAUGCAGCAACGCCGUGUGAGUGAAGAAGGUUUUCGGAUCGUAAAACUCUGUCCUAAGGGAAGAAACAAAUGACGGUACCUUAGGAGGAAGCCCCGGCUAACUACGUGCCAGCAGCCGCGGUAAUACGUAGGGGGCAAGCGUUAUCCGGAAUCACUGGGCGUAAAGGGUGCGUAGGCGGCUUAGCAAGCCAGGGGUGAAAGGCAUUGGCUCAACCAAUGUAAGCCUUUGGAACUGUUAAGCUUGAGUGCAGGAGAGGUAAGUGGAAUUCCUAGUGUAGAGGUGAAAUUCGUAGAUAUUAGGAGGAACACCAGUGGCGAAGGCGACUUACUGGACUGUAACUGACGCUGAUGCACGAAAGCGUGGGUAGCGAACAGGAUUAGAUACCCUGGUAGCACAGAG
rnacentral:rRNA from 1 species